UAUAUAUCGACUUUCACUAUAUAUAUAUCAACUUUCAUUAUAUAUAUAUCAAGUUUCAUUAUAUAUAUAUAUCAACUUUCAUUAUAUAUAUAUCAAGUUUCAUUAUAUAUAUAUCGACUUUCAUUAUAUAUAUAUAUCAACUUUCAUUAUAUAUAUAUCAAAUCUUUUUUUCCUACCGAGCCCCGGAAGGGACAUGUCCGUAUGGCGAAGCGACAACGAAGGACACUCACCCGGACGAGAAUUUUAUUGAGUUUUAUUUUAAAAUCGGCCUGAAACACACAGACAUUCAAGCAGUGCGAUGCGCUAAGAGUCUGCCAUGCAGACCAGCGAUCCUGAUAAUGUUGUCGGCCUUGGAUGAUGAGGUCCAGUUACCAGGAGCACUAGUCUGCAGCUUACUGGUUCCGUCUUGCAGCUCCUCCACGCUGUCCUCCUCUCUACAGACCAAAUCAAGAAAAGGGAACCAGGAAGCUGCUGUGGAUCCUCUGCAGUAUCUGGAGAGGUCAGAGGAACGGUUCUUGGAACAGAUCGGAAGACACCAAGACGUGACCUCUGCCAUGCUCCAGAACAUCCAGAAGAUGAAUGAAAACCUUGGUUGCACUGAUGGGACGCAUGGUGUCGGUGCUGGAGCAACUGUCCCAGAAUUAAACUGCAUUGUUGACUAUUGGCUUUUCUAGAAAAUAAAUCUUUUUUAGUACUUCA